rnacentral:rRNA from 1 species
GGGAAUAUUGCACAAUGGGGGAAACCUUGAUGCAGCAAUGCCGCGUGGGUGAAGAAGCACUCCGGUGCGUAAAGCCCUGUCAGCAGGGAAGAAAAUGACAGUACCUGGACAAGAAGCCCCGGCUAAUUAC